UACGUAGGGCGCAAGCGUUGUCCGGAAUUAUUGGGCGUAAAGAGCUCGUAGGUGGUUUGUUACGUCUGCUGUGAAAACCUAGGGCUUAACCCUGGGCCUGCAGUGGAUACGGGCAGACUAGAGGUAGGUAGGGGAGAAUGGAAUUCCCGGUGUAGCGGUGAAAUGCGCAGAUAUCAGGAGGAACACCGGUGGCGAAGGCGGCCUUCUGGACAGUGACUGACGCUGAGACGCGAAAGCGUGGGGAGCAAACAGG
rnacentral:rRNA from 1 species